ensembl:lncRNA LINC01213 long intergenic non-protein coding RNA 1213
GGGAAGGCCAUAGAAAGGACCGGCGAAUGCUGGCAUUGAUGUGUGUUAUUUUAACAUUUCUGAAAUCCUGUUCUUAGUCUGCACACCUUGUCCGAGGCUCCGAUGUUAUCCAGGUCACCAGGUAUGCCCCUGGGCUCCUGCCGCAGCUGAUCGGGUGCUAGGUGCUGAGGAUACACGGUGAGUUCCUUCUCUCCCCUCAGGGGCCGGUGUCUGGAUGGGUAACUUUAAUAUGAUGUCGGAUACAGAGAGGGCCAAAAGAACAUGAAGGAAGGCCCUUGACCUCCCAGGUGGUGAGCUGGAGACCUUGGGGAGAUGGAGUGAGGUGCAAUUUGCAGGAAGAAAGGAGUUACCCAGUCUGGGAGAAAGCAAUUGGAAGAAAUGCAAAGCUCUUCAAAGGAGACCUAUAAAGUCAUCUUUGUUUUGUUCAUUCUUCUCAUGUUUCUGCAUUCUGGGCAUUCUCCUAAAUUGGGGAGAAACCAAAAUGCCCAGAAGUCAAAUUCUGCAACUGUCAUCAUGCAAAAUGUCAAAUGAGAGAACCAAAGUAUGCUGGAUUCUAUAUUGUUAGGAAGGGAUGGUUAAUUUGAUUGACUCUUGGGAGCUAUUUUUCUAGCAUUAAGUAAUUCUAGGGAACCCUUCUGUGAUCAUCUCUGAGUAAAUAAAGAAGUGAAAUUGCAAUUCAAAUAA